AUCAAUCUUCGGGGCAGGGUGAAAUUCCCUACCGGCGGUGAUGAGCAAGCGCUCUAAGCCCGCGAGCCUUUUUAUGGGCAGGAUUCGGUGCGAUUCCGAAGCCGACAGUAUAGUCUGGAUGGGAGAAGAUGGAG
rnacentral:ncRNA from 23 species